rnacentral:rRNA from 1 species
GGGAAUAUUGGACAAUGGGCGGAAGCCUGAUCCAGCAACGCCGCGUGAGGGAUGACGGCCUUCGGGUUGUAAACCUCUUUCAGCACAGACGAAGCGCAAGUGACGGUAUGUGCAGAAGAAGGACCGGCCAACUACGUGCCAGCAGCCGCGGUAAUACGUAGGGUCCGAGCGUUGUCCGGAAUUAUUGGGCGUAAAGGGCUCGUAGGCGGUUUGUCGCGUCGGGAGUGAAAACACCGGGCUUAACUCGGCGCUUGCUUUCGAUACGGGCAGACUAGAGGUAUUCAGGGGAGAACGGAAUUCCUGGUGUAGCGGUGAAAUGCGCAGAUAUCAGGAGGAACACCGGUGGCGAAGGCGGUUCUCUGGGAAUAUCCUGACGCUGAGGAGCGAAAGUGUGGGGAGCGAACAGA